UGAACGACUCUCGGCAACGGAUAUCUCGGCUCUCGCAUCGAUGAAGAACGUAGCGAAAUGCGAUACUUGGUGUGAAUUGCAGAAUCCCGUGAACCAUCGAGUCUUUGAACGCAAGUUGCGCCCGAGGCCACCAGGUCGAGGGCACGUCUGCCUGGGCGUCACGU
rnacentral:rRNA from 2 species